rnacentral:rRNA from 1 species
UGAUCCAGCCAUGCCGCGUGAGUGAUGAAGGCCUUCGGGUUGUAAAGCUCUUUUGUCGGGGAAGAAAUCUUUCGUGCUAAUACCUUGAGAUGAUGACGGUACCUGGACAAUAAGCACCGGCUAACUACGUGCCAGCAGCCGCGGUAAUACGUCUGGUGCAAGCGUUAAUCUGAAUUACUGGGCGUAAAGCGUGCGCAAGCGGUUGUGCAAGACGGGUGUGAAAUCCCCGGGCUUAACCUGGGAACUGCAUUUGAGACUGCAUAGCUUGAGUACGGAAGAGGGGGAUGGAAUUCCGUGUGUAGCAGUGAAAUGCGUAAAUAUGCGGAGGAACACCGAUGGCGAAGGCGAUCCCCUGGACCUGUACUGACGCUCAUGCACAAAAGCGUGGGGAGCAAACAGGAUUAAAUACCCUGGUAGUCCACGCCCUAAACGAUGUCAACUGGUUGUUGGGAAGGUUUCUUCUCUGUAACCUGGGGACGCGUGAAGUUGACCGCCUGGGGAAGG